rnacentral:rRNA from 1 species
AACGAACGCUGGCGGCAUGCCUAACACAUGCAAGUCGAACGAGACCUUCGGGUCUAGUGGCGCACGGGUGCGUAACGCGUGGGAACCUGCCCUUAGGUUCGGAAUAACUCCCCGAAAGGGGUGCUAAUACCGGAUAAUGUCUUCGGACCAAAGAUUUAUCGCCUUUGGAUGGGCCCGCGUUGGAUUAGCUAGUUGGUAGGGUAAAAGCCUACCAAGGCGACGAUCCAUAGCUGGUCUGAGAGGAUGAUCAGCCACACUGGGACUGAGACACGGCCCAGACUCCUACGGGAGGCGGCAGUGGGGAAUAUUGGACAAUGGGCGAAAGCCUGAUCCAGCAAUGCCGCGUGAGUGAUGAAGGCCUUAGGGUUGUAAAGCUCUUUUACCCGGGAUGAUAAUGACAGUACCGGGGGAAUAAGCUCCGGCUAACUCCGUG